rnacentral:lncRNA from 7 species
CCGAACUCCGCUUGGCCCAUUCAACCCUUCUCCUCGCGCGGCCCAACUUCCCCACUCAGGCGCACCCCAGCCGCGCGCAGACUUACCUUGGUUGAUGCAUGGGGCCACCCUGACAGAGCCGUCUUCCUCGUGCUGGGCAAACGAGCUCAACAAACCCGACGCGAAUCUCGUGGAGUCGCGCCCGUAAAGCUAACCGACCCAUUCCCUGGCCCUAUAUGAGUGUCCGCAAAUCGCCCCUUGAAUACCGAGCGGAGAAUCCAGUCGCCAUCGAGAGACCCAAGGAACAAGGACGCCGCCGCGCGGAAAACUCGUCGUCGCCGCCAAUCCUCGCUCCCAUCGCCAAUGGGGCCUGGGGGUCAACCCAGGGGGCUUCGUCCCAUCGUCGGGGUUGUGCCCGUGGCCAAGUUGGGGGGGAAACGACCAUUAUGGCGAGCCCAAUUGCACACCGAAGAUUGUAAUCCACAUCGAAUCCGCCCUUGACGCGGUCAGAGAUCUCUGCGCCCCUAUUCUCCGCGCGAGGUUACGAGCCACCUGAGGAGC